UGCCCAUAUCAGAUAUCUUCAGAAAUCACUUUGGAAAAUGCCUUUAGGAAGGUAGGACACCUCUUCCCAUUUGUCUUAUGAUGGCAGGUCCAGAGCUUACAUGAAGAGGCAGUGAGGCAAAGAUGUAAAGAAUAUGGACUCUUCAGUCAGACCUGGGAUGAACCCCGGCCAUUACCUACUCACGGAGGAGCCUGGGCCACUUAUCUAACCUCUCUGAGGCUCACUUUCUGCGUCUAUCAAAUGAGAAUAGCGCUACUAUCUGCUGUAUGAAACACUGACCGAGUUAAGCAAAAUAAUGCAGGUUAGCUGCUUAAUCCAGUGUCUAGCACAUAGCAAGUGCCAAAAAUGUGAGCGAUUAAAAGGGGUCUUUUACUAGCACUGGCCACAUCCCCAUCUUAUCGCUUUAUCUUCCAUUGAGCAGAGGUUCUGCCAGGUGCAGGGGACAAGGGAGAAGAAAAGACACGCACAUUCUCCUGGGCUUCAAAGUUGUCCCAUCCUUCUGUGAUGUCAUAAUCUGAGCCAUAGCCCACAAAUGUGAACUCCAACAACCCCCAAACCCAGUCCUCACCUCCCACAUGCUUUUCAUCACCCGCUCUCACAUCCCAUCUGGGGCCUCUGCUUCCAUCCUACCAUUUCGCAAGCCUGGCCAACUCAAGCUCCGUGUGCUGCACCUAGAGCAGCCCAUCUCUGUGUCAGGGAGGUGAGCUGCUCAGUUGCCAGAGUAUCAACCUGAGCCCAGGACACUGCCAGACUGCUGAGUCAAAGAGGGUUUAGCAGCCCAUUUUCAUAGACAGACAGGUGAGAGGAGGAUGCUGGACAUGGUCCCAGAGACAUGGGGACUCAAGAAACAUGAAGAUCUGUUCACAGCUAAGGGCACAUUUCCAUGCCGAGAAAUCAGGCGUGAGCGCAAGAGUCCUAUCGUCUACCAGAAAAAGAAAUCUUUGGGAGCAUUCAAGGAGGAAUGGCUUCAUGAUGGCAAUGAGCGGCAUCGCCUGAAAGACAGCCUUCGAGAGUCUCCCAGAGCCGCUGAGGAGCAAGGCAGAGAACUGCAAUCCAAGCAAAUGUGGUGGGUGUGAAGCUUUCAAGAAGUUGGGUCAAGAACAAGGACUGAAAGAGGAGCAUCAAUUUGUAAGUUCAGGAAUGUCUGCUCCAUCUUUGCAGAGACAAGCAAAUAUCAGGGACCACCCAAGUCCAUUCAUUGUGAACUAAGUGAAUCAUGACACAACCACACAAUGGAACACCGUGCAGGAUUAUGAUAUACAGACUGCUGAAGAUCUAGAGUUAUUGAUAUGGAAAGAUGCCCAUGAUGUAUUGUUAGCAAAAAAAAUCAGCCUACAAAACAACAUGCAUAGCAUAAUCCUAUUUAAAAUAUAUCUUUACAUGUGUAUGUAUAUAAGGAAAAGAGUAGAAGGCUAUAUACUGAAAUGUUAAUGACUGUUACCUCUGCUGGCUUUUUUAAUUUUUAUAUAAUUUUAGCGCCUAAAACAAUAUUUUAUGCAGUGAGCUUCUAUGAAUACUAUCAUCAGAAAAAAAAAACCCACCCCAAAACUCUAGAGCUACUUUUAGAUUGACUUUUCAAGAAUAAAGGAUAGGGACCAGGUCUCUACUGUACCAGGCACUGUGGUGGAAGGCAAAAUUUUAAAACUACAUGGUCCCUGCCCUCAGGAGGCUUGAAGUCUGAAUGAGGGGAUAUUGUGUGGAACAACAUGAAAUUUACCAGUAAGUCAUAGAUCUUUAGGAGUAAAAGAAUGAAACAUUAGAUGACAGUGGAUCAUGUUUCCAUGGGUAGACAGACUUAGGAUGGUGGUUGAGUAAAAGAAAAUUGAGGUGCCCAUCCCAGAUUGGUAUAAUAUUGCUCAAGUUGCUCAUGUGCCCUGGGGUUCAGUUUUCCCAUCUGAAAGUAGAGUUAGUAACAGUAGAUGAGGUAAAGCACAUAGCACAGUGCUGCACAGGCUACAUUUAGGAAAUGCCCACCUUUCUGAUUAUUUUAUCAUUCCUACCAAGGGCUUGGAGAAAGCAAGUGUGGGAACAGCUUUAGAUAGAAAAGACUAGCCUUUGUUAUAAUAUUUCUUGAUGCUCAUAGUCAUGUCCCUUUUGAAAAGACACUUCCUCUAGCGUAAGUGUUUAAACAAGUAUUUAAAUUAAAUGGCACUCAUUUUCCCAGGAACAUGCAGAAGUCUGGCCCACACUUCUCCAGCACAAUGCAGUUUUUAUUGUAGUGCUUAAUCUGUUGAUGAAGUCAAUCAAUGGCUUUCCCCGCUUCCUAAGCAAAUGACUUGCUCCACUCCAAUCAAAAGGCACCUUUAAUCUGAUUCCUUUUCACUCAACUCUCCGCCGUGACCCAUAUGCCACUUUAUUCCUCCUUCCCCCUCCUGAAUGUAAUAAGCCUGGUCCAAUUUGCUUGUAUAAACAGAAGGCCGAGGCAGGCGAGGGACGUCACUUGGCCGCAGCGGUUCUGCUUUUUAUACAUUCCUCCUGCCUUGUUUCCUGAGACCUUUCAAUAGAGCCAGACUUGGAGGAGAGUUAUAUUAAACAGUUUGACUCCAAACCUAAACAGCCCCUGAAGCAUUAGUGGUUCAAAGAUCUCCUGGUGCAUUUAUGAAAAGCCAUUGAUCUGGGAAGAGGUGUUAGAGGACUUGAAAUGCACUAAGAAAACUCCUUUACUGGCAGGAGGGAGAGUGGUUUUCAUUAAGGAACUGCCCUUUAUCUCGUCACAUUACUGACCUGCUGGAGCUGAGACGGGCUGCUUCCUUUAGCCUUUAAAGGAAGCUGCCUCUGGUCAGAAACUACGAUAAGAAAGCAUUCAUUUUUAAGACACCCACAAAAGACAGAAGUGUGGCACUGUGGUGGCUUGGUUUUCUGAGUUUAAUCCCCAAAUAUUCUUUAAAUUGUAAACCUUGUGACCACCUCUGAUGCACAGAAGCCUUAAGAAUGCCAGGGGUUAUUUCUCCAAAUGUUUGGUUAUUAGUGAUGGGAAAAAAAAAAAAUCUGUGAAUUAUGUACUUCAGAGCUCAGGGGGACUUGAACUAUCACCUAGAACUGCGUCUACUCUUAACUCAGGGUCAUACAUGUCCCAGAGGACCAUUGGUCAGCUUCAGGGCUGUGUAGGCUCCCACAAAUCCCAUUGUGCGCUUACCAGCUGGGUGAACUGAGAUGAAUUCUCUUGUCUUUGCCACGGUUUUCUCAUCUAGAAACUGGGCAUUGUGACCUCCUAGGAUUCUUGCAAGGAUUAAAUAUAACACAUGUAAAGUGCCUUGUACAGUGCCUGGCACAUAGUUGGCACUUAAUAAAUGCUAUAAUCAUCAUUGCUUGUUAUUACUAUAUUAUUAUUCAGGCAGUCUAACAAUUGUGAGCAAUAUUUUGCAUUUAUUUGCACAUGUCCACUUUCCUAGGAAGAGGUCCAUACAUUUCAUUUUCAUUUCCCCCAAAAGGAGAAGAACCACUAAGCUAGCUAGACUAAUAACUUCUUUAAUUGAUGAGUAAAAUCCUACCCAGAGGUUUAAGUAUUUUUUCGACAAUCACAUGGUAACCUAGAGGCAAGGUGAGAGCUAGAACCCAAAAUGUGUUGAUUCCACUGCUUUCCAAAAUUUUGGCAACACUAGCAAAAGCAGCCCAGGCCUUGCACAAAAGUGACCUAUAAAUAAAUGUAGAAUAGGCCUGGACAUAUAUUGGUGGCUUCAAGGCAAAGGGAGUGUUCAGGGGUCUGGAGGUGUGUGAUGGCUGUGGAGCUGUGAAAACACCACUUGACAUGUAUAAUCAACAGAAGAGGGGGUGUGCAAACCAGAUAGGAGGAGGAAUGGGUGGGGACUCCAGGAAGAAAACACCCCAGUUGCAAAUUCUUCUGCAUUUCCCAUGCAAUAGCAAAGCAAGUUGAUCCCAUAAGCUAUCCGUAAGCUUCACCAAAUCCAAGAGAAUCUAUGCAUAGCUGACUUAGGAAACAGUAGGUAUUUGUUGAAUUCUGAGUGAUUGCACCACUUUCUCCGAGAAGACAUAGCCACAGGACUUUGAGGUUUGCACUCUUUUUGUUAGCCAGAUUCCUUAAAAUACUCUGAUAUUUUCCUAGUUCAUUUGUUCUCAAAGGGUGGCCCUGGGCCAGCACUAUAGCUGUCAUUGGGGGAACUUGUUAGAAAUGCAAAUUUUGGGUCCUCUCCUCGGACCUACUGCAUCAGAGACUGUGGGGUGGGGCCCAGCAAUCUGUUUUAACAGGGUUUCCAGGUAAUUCUGGUGUGCACUCAACUUUGAGAACCACUAAGUUAAUUGGUGUGGCAGAGAAACUAAGCAAGAAAUGAGGGCUUGAAAAAGCCUUCCAGCAACUGAAUCCCUAGAAUACAUUUUUUGUUUGUUUGUUUGAAAUAAACUGGAACUCGAUUAGUAACUUACAUCUUCCUGUGUUUUGCAAACAAGAGAUCUUGGAAGGAAGUAGAAAAUCAAUUUCAAGGCCUUUCAUCUCAGUUACAAUGACACAUUCAUUUUAGCAUUGUGUGGGGAGGGAGGGAAGGAGAGAGCAGGCAGGCAGUGGUUGGGUUUGUGGAGAGGAAUACACAAUUCCAAUGGAAUCCACUGUAAUUUAGGGGCAAUUAGCAUCUGCACAUUCUCCAUUCAUGAGGCUCCAUUAAUCCAGUUAAUCCUCAUCUUCUAAUCAAAAACAAACAUCCUUGAGUGUACUUGAGAUCCUUUUAACACAUUCUCCCCACCUGAAUGCUGUCCUCUGCCUUGUAAUCCAGGGCUUUUAGGAACCACUUCAGCUUUUGGAAAGAGGGGAGCUACCCACCACCUUGGCUGGGUCCUGCCAGCCCCUUGGAAACCUGCCCUCUCCUAGGCUGCACCCUCCCCUGAAACUUGUUCUUUGACUAGACCUGCCCUCUCCCUGCUAUUAUUUAAGUCAUUCUUGAUACUUCUUUGCUAUUCUGGGCAGCCUUCCCUGACGACUUUCUGACUGCCCCUUGGCUAAACACACAAAUGCUUGGAUAAUACUAAUGCCUUGCAUUGCUAAGUCACUUCACUGUUUCCAAAGGCCUUUCCUAGUCCACUUUUCAUUUGAUCCUCCAAACUAUCAUAAUAUCAUUACUAUUUCUCCACUUCCCACCCACUCUCACCCUCCCUCUUCAAUUUACAGAUGGGGGCCACUGAGGCUUUCAGAGAUUUUGUGACCUACCAAACUGGCACAGCUAGUAAAUGGAUGACAAGGUAGGUUCAAACCCAGGACUCCUGAUCCGCAGGCGGAGAUCUAUUAUAGAACACUGUUUCUUUCUGACCACCCACCUAAAUCCAUAAUGCCAAUGAAUAAUGCAUUUGUCCUUUCACUGUGUUUAUGUCUUUGGAAUGUUUUUGUAUCUAUGGAAAUCAGUGCAUCUUCCUUAAUUUUGAAGCCUCUAAGGAGAAGAAACCCUAUCUGUGUAACUCAGGCUCAAAUAAUACUGUAAAGUACUUCUACCUAUUCAAAAUAUUUUCAUCUUUGUCUUAUUUUAUCCACAAAACAAUCAUAUGAGUUAAGGAGGAUAAACAAUAUUACAUCUAUUUAAUGGUAAGAAAACUGAAGUUUGGCCAAUAAAAGCAACUUAUUGGCUCGGAAGUAGAACGUGGUAUGGUUGGGAAUAGAAUACGGCUUUCUAAUUUCUGGUUCUGUAUUUAUCUAUUAGAUAUGUGGUUUUAAAAUUGUGACCCUCGGGCUCUUGCAUGCUUCUUCUUGGAAAGGCGAGGCAGACAGGGCUCAGGGUAUUCUACCACUGGUUUAACUAAAAGCUUUCCUCUCCUGAAUAGCAACUUAGAAGCCCCUGACAGGUCCUCAUUUCCUGUCUUGAGUAUCCAGCAUAGUAGUCGUACUAGUCAGGUGUAAGCAGUGGCUUCAGGAUAAUAUCCUUGCAGAUGGCCCUGGGAAGCCUUGAAGUUUUUGCAAGCAUUUCAGACUCCCUGGCUUGUGAUCAGUGUAGGCAGUGAAAACUGCACUUUGUCCUCAGAGUAGGAAAGUUACCCCUCAGCCAUUUCAUAUUCUGUUCAUUAAUUCAACAAAUAUUUGUUGAGUUACUAUGUGCUAAGUACUGUGUUUGCGUCUGGGACUAGAGGGGUAGAAAAAAAAUAUGGAGGUGAUUUCACCUCUACCCUCAUAGAAGAUGCCUUCUGAUAGAUCUGAAACAGAUAAUCUUACCAAUAAAUAAUUCCAAAUCGUAAUAAAAGCUAUGCAGGAAAGAUCUGUUUGUUGCAUGAAAGAGCAAGGAGUGGGGUCUCACCCAAACAGGAGGUCAGGGAAUUACAGUUCAUGGAGGUUACACCGAAGCUAGAUUUUCUUGGGAGGGCACACCUGCUGCAUGGAACAGCACCGUCUGGCAUGAUGCAGCAAGUGUUUGUCCUGGUUGAGAAAUCCAGAGGAGACACAGCUGGCUGGGGCCCAGUGAGCAAGAACAGAGUAGUAGGAGAUGGGAGACGGGGUCAGGAGGAGCAGGGCAUCGAAUUCAUACACAGCAAGUUGGGUAGUCAUUGCAGGGACUUAAGUAAGAGGUAUCAUGAUUGAUUGACUAUCAUGAUGACUUCGGCUAUUGUCUGGAGAACAAAUUGGAGUUGGUCAAAAGCAUAAACAAAAGAGCUGGGAGGAGAUGAUUAGGUGGUUUUCCUUUGUUACACAGUUAGAGGUGCCCUUGAGGGAUUUUUUAAUUGAAUGUGGAAGAGAGAGCAGACAGCAUGGACAAGACUUAGAAGAGUAAGCAUGGUAGAAAAUAAAAAGCACUACUUUGGAUUAGGUGAUGUGGUUCCAAUCCUGCACCUCCAUGUCCUGGAUGUGUAACGUAGGACAGGCCACAUAACCAACCCCUCUGGCCCUCAUUUUCCCCAUUUGUGACAAGGGGCUAAUAAUCCAAACUCAGCGGGUUAUUAGGAUGCCUAAUUCAUGUCAGUGAAAGUCGACUGUAAAUGGGAAGGUACUAUGAAAAUACAGGAUGUCAUUAUCAUUAACCAUGUCCAUAUAUACAAAGUAAUUAUAAUUACAGCUCUGAGUAAAUAUGAAAGAACAUUUUUUUUAUCUCUGUGUCCUGAAAAUAAGUUACUGGAAACCAAGACUUUUGUGUCCUUAGGUUAGAAGUUUGGAUUUGUAUUUCAUAAAUCUACCUUUUUUAUGCUAGAAACUUUACAAUUGAUGAAUAAAAAUCACUUUAAUCUUUAGAACAAUCACAUUUGCUCAGAAUUAUAAAAAUAGUCAUAUUUAGUUCAUACCAUGUCUUCUAAGCCUUACUCACUUAUGUGCCAGUCAUUUUUUUUUUUUACCAUAUAUGUGUAAAUAGUAACUUGAUGUUUUACUUAAGUUGAACUUAUAUAGAUUCCCCUCCAUGUUUUAGUUUCGUUUUUUUUUUUUUCAGUGUAAAGAAUACUACAUGUGAAGUCAUGGAGUCGAUCUGCUAGUUAUUUUUUUUUUUGUCCUAAUUCACAUGAAAAUAGUUGGAGGACUGUUAACAUAUAAUCUAAACUAUCUAACAGGACCUCAUAUAACACUCAUGAAUACUAUGCUUGGGAAACAAAAGCUUAUUCUACUCAUUUUGUAAAAUGAAUUUUAUUGUGUAUAUUGAAGGAACAACAUGAUAUGGGAUACAAACACAUAGUAAAAAAGAUACCACAGUGAAGCAAAUUAACAUAGCCAUCAUCUCAUAAGUAUCCAUUUUUCCUUGAUUUUUUUUUUUUUUUUUUUUUUUUUUUUGGUGGCAAGAGCAGCUGAAAUCUACUCCUGUAGCAUGAAUCCCAAAUAUAGCACAGUUUUCUUACCCAUAGUCUUCCGGUUGUACAUUAGGUCUCCAGACCUGGCCACCCUCCCUACUUAAUACAGACCUCCAUCUCCCAUCUCCUCCCUAGCUAUCCCCUGCCUGGUAAUCACUGUUUUGUUCUCUAUUUCUGUACAGUUGGGUUUUUGUUUGUUUGUUUGUUUUUAGAUUCCACAUAUACUUGAAACAAUGCAAUCUUUUUCUUUCUUUGUCUGGUUUAUUUCACUUAACACAGUGCACUCCAGGCUCGUCUAUGUUGUGGCAAAGGCAAGAUCUUUUUUAGGGCUGAAUAAUAUUCCAAUCUAGACAUAUACCACAGUGUAUUCAUUUGUCUGUCACCGGACACUUAGGUUGUUGCCUAUGUUCACUGUCACAACGCUGCAGUGAACACAGGCAUGCAGGUCUCUUUAUGAGGCGGUGAUUUCAUUUCCUUUGGGUAUGUGCCCAGAAGAGAGAUUGUUAGGUCAUCUGGUAAUUUUAUUUUUAAUUUCCUUAGGAAUAUCCAUACUAUUUUACAUAACAGCUGGACCAAUCUACAUUCCCAGCAACAAUGUACAAGGGUUCUCUUUUCUUCAUACCCUCACCAACAUUUGUUAUCUUGUGACUUGAUAGUUGCCAUCCAAAUGGGUGUAAGGUGGUAUCUCAUCUGGUUUUGAUUAAUAAUUAAUUAAUGAUGAAUGAUGUUGAGCACCUUUUCAUAUACCUGUGGGCCAUUUUUGCAUAUUCUCUGUAGAAAUGCCUAUUCAGGUCUUUUGCCCAUUUUUAAAUUGGGUUAUGUGGUUUUUCCACUAUUGUAUGAUUUUUUUUUUUUUUUUUUUUUGAGAUGGAGUCUCACUCUGUCACCAGGCUGGAGUGCAGUGGCACAAUCUCGGCUCACUGCAACCUCCACCUCCCGGGUUCAAGUGAUUCUCCUGCCUCAGCCUCCCGAGUAGCUGGGACUACAGGUGUCCACCACCACGCCCGGCUAAUUUUUUGUAUUUUUAGUAGAGACGGGUUUUCACCAUGUUGGCCAGGAUGGUCUUGAUCUCUUGACCUUGUGAUCCACCUGCCUCAGCCUCCCAAAGUGCUGGGAUUACAGGCGUGAGCCACCACACCCAGCCUUUUGUAUGAGUUCUUUAUGAAUUUGGGAUAUUAACCCUUUACCAUAUAUAUGGCUUGUAAAUAUUUUUUUCCCAACCCAUAAGCUGUUUCAUUUUGUUGAUUAUUUCCUUUGCUAUGCAGACACUUUUUAGUUUGAUGUGCUCUCAUUUAUUUGCUUUUGCUUUUGUGUCCUGAGCCUUUGGUGCAAUAUCCAAAAAAAACCUGUCAAGGCCAAUCAAUUGUCCAGGAGCUUUUUCCCCGUGUUCUCUUCUAGGAGUUUUAUGGUUUCAGAUCUUACAUGUAGGUCUUUUAUCCAUUUUGAGUCUAUUUUUUGUGAGUGGUAUAAGUUAAGGGUCCAAUUUCGUUCUUUUACAUGUGGAAAUUCAGUUUUCUCAGCACCAUUUAUUGAACAGACUAUCCUUUUCCCAUUGUGUCCUCUUGGUGCCCUUGUGGAAAAUUAGUUGACUAGUAAACCAUUUAUAUUCUAGGUCUUUUUCAAUAUAAAAUUAACAUGGCCUUCCACUGGCCAAGUGGUGCCUUGGAAUCACCUGGAGUGUUUCUAAAAGUCAUAAGGCCCAGCUAGACGCUAGAUCAAAUAAAUAAAAAUCUCAGUUCAUGGGACCCAAGCCUCAGGAUUUUUAAACAUUUCCUAUGAUUUUUUUUUUUUUUUGAGACAGAGUCUUGCUCUGUCACCCAGACUGGAGUGCAGUGGCUUGCAAUCACUGCUUACUGCAGCCUUGACCUCUCCAUGCUCAGGAGAUCCUCCCACCUCAGCCCCUUAAGUAGCUGGGACUGCAGGUACAAGCCACCACGCCCAGCUAGUGUGUGUGUGUGUGUGUGUGUGUGUGUGUGUGUGUGUGUGUGUGUUUUGGUAGAGACGGGGUUUUGUCAUGUUGCCCAGGCUGGUCUUGAACUCCUGAGCUCAAGCGAUCUGCCCACCUUGGCCUCCCAAAGUGCUGGGAUUACAGGUGUGAGCCACUAGUGCCCAGCAUCCUUAAGAUAAUUUUUAUGUGAACUGAGACUUAGAACCACUAACUUAGAUUCUUGGAUGCCUUCUAGAACUUCUAGGAUUAGACAAAUAUUGUGGAUAGACUGUAAGAGAAGAACCUGGCCAUAGUGGAGACAAUCACUGUUAUGUUAUCCAGAGGAGAGGGUCAUCUUGAUCAAUAAUAUUAACAGUAGUAGUAAGAGUAAUACUGCUACUACUGAUGGCAACAUUGAAGGCCAACUUUAUGUCAGUAUUCUUCCAAGUGCUUUAUAAGAAUUACUUCAUUUAGGCCAGGCACAGUGGCU
rnacentral:lncRNA from 1 species